rnacentral:rRNA from 1 species
GAUGAACGCUGGGGCGUGCCUAAUACAUGCAAGUCGCGCGAACAGACGAGGAGCUUGCUCCUCUGACGUUAGCGGCGGACGGGUGAGUAACACGUGGAUAACCUACCUAUAAGACUGGGAUAACUUCGGGAAACCGGAGCUAAUACCGGAUAAUAUAUUGAACCGCAUGGUUCAAUAGUGAAAGACGGUUUUGCUGUCACUUAUAGAUGGAUCCGCGCCGCAUUAGCUAGUUGGUAAGGUAACGGCUUACCAAGGCGACGAUGCGUAGCCGACCUGAGAGGGUGAUCGGCCACACUGGAACUGAGACACGGUCCAGACCCCUACGGGAGGCAGCAGUAGGGAAUCUUCCGCAAUGGGCGAAAGCCUGACGGAGCAACGCCGCGUGAGUGAUGAAGGUCUUCGGAUCGUAAAACUCUGUUAUUAGGGAAGAACAAAUGUGUAAGUAACUAUGCACGUCUUGACGGUACCUAAUCAGAAAGCCACGGCUAACUACGUG